rnacentral:rRNA from 1 species
CGGCAUCACGAGGAUUCUACUGUCUCCCUCUUUUAAUCAGUGAAACUGAACUCUCCGUGAAGAAGCGGAGAUGAACAUAUAAGACGAGAAGACCCCAUGGAGCUUUAAACCCAGCAACACCUAUUUUUUAUAAAUCCUCAUAUACGCUUAAUCACUGUUUGCUUGGUUUUAGGUUGGGGUGACCAUGGAGCAUAAAAAACCCUCCACGAAAAAAGAACUAAUAAUUCUUAUCUAAGAAAUACACCUCUAAGAAUUUACACAUUAAUUUUUAAUGAUCCGAUAUUCGAUCAACGAACCAAGUUACCCUGGGGAUAACAGCGCAAUCUACUUUGAGAGCCCCUAUCGACAAGUGGGUUUACGACCUCGAUGUUGGAUCAGGGUGUCCUAGUGGUGCAACAGCUACUAAAGGUUCGUUUGUUCAACGAUUAAAACCCU